rnacentral:misc_RNA from 1 species
ACAAGACACACACAUGCACAGGCACACGCGCAUACACACUGUUUUGCCCUGCUUCCACGAUCGUUCAGCCUCGAAGUGAUACGCCAGCGUCCCGCUCCUUGUAUUAUUAUGGUGUGCGCUCGCCCUCAUUGAACGGUUCGGGCGUAUUAUCCUCUUGUGAUUACUGCUGCUUGCUCUUUGUUUUCGUAUCUUCUUGUUUUCCGUGCUGCGCCGCCAAGGCAUCCCCCGCUCGCCCGCCCCCUUCAGCGCUCGCUAUCACGCUGCAACGAGGCUCUGACGCAGAGCGUGUGCCUGUCUAGAGUGUACGCCUGCUCCUCUUUGAAUGCUCUGCCUCGGCUUUGUGCCCCUUCUUUUCUGCUAUUUCCCCGGCGUUCAUAACGCCACACCAGUCGGCGCUAAUCCCACACACCGGCACCGACAGACUCGCGUAGGUGCACCUAUAUCCCCACACCCACCCAGGCCCGCCGCCCCCCCUCCAUCGCGCUCUCGCGCUCCCUUUCCGUGAGACACGCGAGUACCUCGACCCCCUUUACGUUUCCCGUGCUCUUCCACUGCUCGGCGUUCAAGCCGGCUCAACAGUUGUCGGGUGAGGUUGCUCGGUGUUCUUUGUACGGGGCACACUUCUCCGUGUAUCACAGACACAGCUGUGCCACACAAACCCACACAACAGCUCGACCUCUCCGCACGCGCACGCACCGAGUCUCGCUGGCGCCCUCACUUUUCGCCAAUGCGCCGCACGCUGUUGGGGAUCGCGGUGACCUUUGCGUUGGUGUGUUGCGUUGUCGGCGCUGGCGCAGCGCAGGGGGACCCGGAGCGAGCCGACUCAGAGGAGCCGCGCUGCGGGUUUGACGAGUUGGAGGCGCGCAUGAUCGGCACCCGCGUGAGUGUGAUAAGCCGUGUAGAGCCGCCUACCGGGGAGCUUGCGGUUGCGGCUGCCGCAACGGGGGCCUGGCAGCCCAUCCGCAUUGCCGUCUUCACAGAGGACAUCUCGAACAGCAGCCAGCACUGCACCGCUUCGGGCCAGAGUCGGCCCACCUUCCGUGGCGGCAGGGUGACCUGCAGCGCAGCGGACGUUCUCACAAGAGAAAAGAAACGGGUGCUGCUGGAGCUGCUGAUUCCAUCCGCAGUACAGCUGCACCAAGAGCGGCUGAACGUGCAGCGGGAGAACGGCAACAUAGUUGUUAGCCCCUUUAUAAAGAAACACAGUAUCUGCGGUCAGUUCAGCAUACCCGAAGAACACAUGAAGACCGGUGUGCCGGACGCCGACUUUGUUCUGUACAUGUCUGCUGCGCCAACAUCUGGCAGUGUCAUCGCGUGGGCGGUGAAGUGUCAGAGCUUCGACAAUGGCCGCCCGUCUGUGGGCGUGGCGACCAUCUCACCCAAGUACAUCACCGCCGAGCCGAAGACCGUGCGCGUCGUCGCGCACGAGGUGUUGCAUGCACUCGGCUUCACGAGGUCAGUUUUCAAGCAACAGAACAUGCUGGUGAUGGCUUCUUUUCGAGGCAAGAGCCCCUCACCUGUCAUUCGCAGCGCAAACGUGGUUGCGCAGGCGCAGCUACAUUACGGCUGCAAAACGCAGGCUUCCAUGGAGCUGGAAGACGAGGGUGGAAAGGGAACCGUUUCGUCACACUGGAAGCGCCGCAGCGCCAAAGACGAGCUGAUGGCGGGCUUCAGCGGCGUCGGCGUCUACUCGGCGCUCACCAUCGCCGCCAUGGAGGACACGGGCUACUACCAGGGCAACUACGCCAAGGCGGAGCCGAUGGCGUACGGCCACGAAGUGGGCUGCAAACUGAGUUCCGAGCGGUGCGUCAUCAAAAGCACUUCACAGAUUCCUGCCAUGUUUUGCGAUGCCCCCGACGCUCCGUGGAGCUGCACCUCUGAUCGCCGAGGCAUCGGGCGGUGCAUCCUUACCUCUUACAAUUCCAACCUGCCCACCUAUUUUCAAUACUUCGGUGACCCGAGGUUGGGUGGCCCAGAUCCCCUGAUGGACUUCUGCCCGUUUGUGAGGGCUGCCGACGACACAAUGUGUGCCGCUAAAACGAACGCCCUGAAGGGCAGCGUGUAUGGCGUCAUGUCGCGCUGUGUCGACACACCGGCAGGCUUUUCCAUUGAUGACUCGGCGGUCCAGCAGCACGGCAUCUGUGCUGAGGUGCAGUGCGGCAGCUCCGCGUACGGCGUCAAAAUAAAUGGCGCGUCUGCGUUCCGGGAUUGUCCGCCUGGCAGCACCUACAACCUGUCGACAUUGAGCCCGUCCUUCUCUAAAGGGCAUUUGGUGUGCCCCUCUUAUGAGUCCGUGUGCGCCAUCAACAUAAACGCCUCGCUGUACGAAGAAUACAGUAGGCUUCUCACCGACCACAGCGUGACUGGUGCGCGGACAAGUGUGACGGCGGUGGUGGCAGUGCUUCUCGUGGUGCUUUUCAUGGGCUGAUCGCCCUGGUUCUCGUGCACAAGUGGCGGCAUUCACGCGCGUGUUUGUGUCUGUGUGUGGCGCUCGUGUCCCCGUCGGCAUGUGCGAACAACGGUGCUACGCGCCGUAGGGGCGUGUGUGCCACUGCCGCAUGCACUGUGCAGUGUGGGCAAAUGCGCGUGGCAGUGCGUCGGCCCUCCAUCUCUAUACACAUUCAUGUAACGGAAUAGUUUCACUUCUUUUCUGCAUAAUGCAGAUCUUCGCUUUCUCUCUUUCUCGUUUCGCACGCUCUUGCCUUUGCGGUGAGGGGGCACGGUUGCGGGCGCGGUGCCACGAGCACGGUGUGCCUGUGCAUGUGGGUGCUUGUGUGCUGCCCCUUCUCGCUGCUCCCUCCGCUUGCCCCUCCCCUCCGCCACGGCGUGCCUUUUGUCCUUCUCCUACCAUCUCCCCUCUCCCCCUCCUGCGUUGUCGCUUGGCGUCCCCUUCUCGCUGUGCUUGUCUCCUUGUCAUUCUUUGGCGGCAUGUUGCACGUCCCGCCUGUCACACUCCCUUCCACCCACUCCCUGCAGAGCGCUGCGUGGCGUCGUGGCGCGCACCCUUUCUCCCUCCAAAAAGGCAAGAGGAACGGCGAAGAACGUUCAGAACGCAUGGCUAUACCGACUGCAAAAGAC